GAUGAACGCUGACAGAAUGCUUAACACAUGCAAGUCGAUUCGAUUUACCUUCGGGUAUUGAGGAUGGCGGACGGGUGAGUAACGCGUAAGGAACUUGCCUCUUGGUCUGGGACAACUGUUGGAAACGACAGCUAAUACCGGAUAUUAUGAGAUUCUCGCAUGGGAAACUUAUGAAAGCUAUACGCGCCAAGAGAGAGCCUUGCGUUCCAUUAGCUAGUUGGUGGGGUAACGGCCCGCCAAGGCGACGAUGGAUAGCCGGCCUGAGAGGGUGAACGGCCACAAGGGGACUGAGACACGGCCCUUACUCCUACGGGAGGCAGCAGUGGGGAAUAUUGGACAAUGGGCCACAAGCCUGAUCCAGCAAUUCUGUGUGCACGAUGAAGGUCUUCGGAUUGUAAAGUGCUUUCAGUUGGGAAGAAGAAAGUGACGGUACCAACAGAAGAAGCGACGGCUAAAUACGUGCCAGCAGCCGCGGUAAUACGUAUGUCGCAAGCGUUAUCCGGAUUUAUUGGGCGUAAAGCGCGUCUAGGCGGAAAAAUAAGUCUGAUGUUAAAAUGCGGGGCUCAACUCCGUAUUGCGUUGGAAACUGUUUUUCUAGAGUACUGGAGAGGUGGGCGGAACUACAAGUGUAGAGGUGAAAUUCGUAGAUAUUUGUAGGAAUGCCGAUGGAGAAGUCAGCUCACUGGACAGAUACUGACGCUAAAGCNCGAAAGCGUGGGGAGCAAACAGGA
rnacentral:rRNA from 1 species